UUUUUACAUAACAUUGCUUCAUAUACUCGCUUCCAGGAAACAAUUUCUCAUUGUGCUACUCUCCCAUGGAUGGCUUAGCCAAUUACAUAUUAUUGGACACUCAAAAUCAACAGGCACCUGGAAAUACAUGCCCAAAACUCUUAUCAAUGCUGUGGAAGAGCUCUUCUAGUCUUCAGGUCACUCUCAGAGUGAGUGAACAGGCGGCAUCUUAACAAAGAUCUCAAGAGAGCCUGAUGCACAAACCCUGGCAGCAGUAGGCAGAGGCUUUCGCCCGACUCCGAAGGGGCACGAUCUCCAAAGCAAGAAGGUCCAAGAGUAAGUAGUACUUUGUGCCGUGCACCUCGCUUCCACCUCACUGGGCCUUCCUUGGGCCUAGGGAACUGCCCUUAGGGCUGUAGGCCGUGAUGGGCCGGCCAGAGAAGCAGAGACAGCAGGAAGCUUCUCGAGGGCUGAAGAGUUUGCCUCCACCUGUUCCGGCUCGGCUGUCUUCUGAGGAAAUACAGCGGGCAAGUAGGGACGGAGGAAAUACAGCGAGUAGGGAUUUCAGGUCAUGGUUUAACCCACCCCGCCAGGUAUGCAAGGCAACCUGGAUAAGCCACUCCAGGAUAAGCCACACAAAUGGGUCAGAGCCAGGCAGAGGCAGAAAAGAGACAGGAAUUCACAGACAUGCACAUCACAGUGUGCAGGCAUGAUGUUCCAAAACCAACUCAGAAAGAUCCAUCGGCAUCCCCUCUGUUAAUACGAGGUCUCUAAAGUUGGUGACGGGAGAAUUCCUGGUUUGAAAGCCAGCAUGGGAAAAUGGCUUAACCGGGCCUCUCGGAUUUGCCGAGGGAGACGUAAGGUUAGGAAGAUACAAACAAGGAAAGACGACUGUGCCUCUCACCAUCGAGCCAUACCAUUUUGAUCUUGGAACCCAGAUGGGGGACAAUUACUUACUUUUUAGUCUCCUUUGAAAUCAUCUAGGGUUUCUGGGUCUGAAACUUUUCAUCAGAUGCUCCUUUUCAUUGUUCCUCGCCCUUGUAUGCCCAUCCGGAGCGGUCCG